ensembl:lncRNA
CUAAAGAUGUAUGGAUCAUUUUGUGCUGAGUUUAUUUAUUUCAGGGACACCGUGAAUACAUUGGCGAAUUGCAAUAUCUUCAGAUGGUUUGCCUUCUCAGAGAGUCUCAUAUGUGGAGGAGUCUACAACACAUCCUGCUGCAUGGACUGAGAGGAGGGAUAGGCAGCGAUGGGAACACGAUUGCCUGAGAGCGGUGGGGGGAAAAUGGAGUUCAUAAAUGAAUAGCCUGAAGAAACAGAUAGUACAUAUCAGAGCAAGUCUGAUGGAACACAAAGCAGCAGAGGACGGGAGACGUCGACGGCAUCAUAUGGAAACAGCUGCUGCCGCCAGACACACUGAACAACGACAAGCUGUGGAGGGGCCCGGACCAGCACCACGUCAGGCUGUCCAGAUGUCUUCACUGGGCUGUCAGGGAUCGGACGUCGCGGCGCGGGAUCCUCGGUGACGAGAUGACGGGGUUCCUCUUGUAAAUCUAUUGCUGAAACCCAGUUCUCAUCCCAGCAGGGGGGCCCCGGGCCCCGCCGCCGUGCUCCGCGGCCCUUGCACCUGCCCGAGCACCUCCCCAGCACCCAGGAGAGUUCAAUCCCAGGCCCUGCAUGGGGCCCUGGAUGAGUCGGGGUGGGACGGGGCCUUGUCCUAGAUUAAACUGUGUGUUCUGGACUCACUCAGAUCCACAAACAACCGUUCUCUAUCAGUCUUCCCCCGGGGACUUGUGGAUGUGGUGUAUGUCGGCGGGGGGGGUGUUGGCCGACUGAGAACACCAGACCGGAUGGAUCCUUUUAGCGUCUUACCUCAUUAAACUGCUUUGUAGACGAUGUUUUGACCAGUUUUCAUAUUCUGCUCAGAAGGAACAAUGAGGAAGCAUAUUCUUGUCCUGUUUGUGUGCGUUCAAAUGAAUAGUUGAGGGGCUUGCUGGAUUUUAAAAUAAACAGUUGAUUAUUUUAUAACGGAACUGAGAGAUCUUUUAGGCUCAUUUAAAUUCUGGUUUAAUUAUUUUCAGAUUUUCCAAUUGAUUCCGAUGUUUUCUAGUCCAAAGAAAUCUUCUUUUCAAAGACACUUUAUGCUCUUUCAUAUUGCUCAUCAACAGAAAGAGAUGACAAUGACAUAUUGACAGCCUUUCAUGUUUCACUUAGAUUGUGAAAUGAGCUUCGAUGGAGGGUUGAAUUACUAAAUCAUUAUCCAUCACUUGAAACUCAAUGCUGCAUCUUUGAUGGAUUGUCAUUGUGCUCCGUUGUAGAUUGAAAGAACAAUUAUAUCCAUAAAUAAAAUGUGUAUUUACUUUCUGAAAUAAAACUCAUUGAUUAACAAUGCGUUCCCG